rnacentral:tRNA from 1 species
GCCCGCUUGGUGGAAUUGGUAGACACAACAGACUUAAAAUCUGUCGAUCGUAAGGUCGUGCCGGUUCGACUCCGGCAGCGGGCACCA